GAGUUUGAUCCUGGCUCAGGAUGAACGCUGGCGGCGUGCCUAACACAUGCAAGUCGAACGACGAAACCGCCCCCGGGCGGACAUGAAGUGGCGAACGGGUGAGUAACACGUGACCGACCUGCCCCCCGCCCAGGGACAGCCCCCCGAAAGGGGGAUUAAUACCUGGUACUCCGGAAGCGGCGCAUGCCGCCCCCGGGAAAGCUCAGGCGGCGGGGGAUGGGGUCGCGGCCCAUCAGGUAGACGGCGGGGCAACGGCCCACCGUGCCGACGACGGGUAGCCGGGUUGAGAGACCGACCGGCCACAUUGGGACUGAGAUACGGCCCAGACUCCUACGGGAGGCAGCAGUGGGGAAUUUUGCGCAAUGGGGGCAACCCUGACGCAGCAACGCCGCGUGCGGGACGAAGGCGUCCGCGUCGUAAACCGCUUUCAGCGGGGAACACUUAAACGAGGGUACCCGCAGAAGAAGCCCCGGCUAAAUACGUGCCAGCCGCCGCGGUAAUUC
rnacentral:rRNA from 1 species